rnacentral:rRNA from 1 species
CACAGCCACGGUAAUACGUAGGUGGCAAGCGUUGUCCGGAAUUAUUGGGCGUAAAGGGCUCGCAGGCGGUUUCUUAAGUCUGAUGUGAAAGCCCCCGGCUCAACCGGGGAGGGUCAUUGGAAACUGGGAAACUUGAGUGCAGAAGAGGAGAGUGGAAUUCCACGUGUAGCGGUGAAAUGCGUAGAGAUGUGGAGGAACACCAGUGGCGAAGGCGACUCUCUGGUCUGUAACUGACGCUGAGGAGCGAAAGCGUGGGGAGCGAACAGGAUUAGAUACCCCCGUAGUCCCUGUCUCUUAUACA